AAUCAACGCUGGCGGCGUGCCUCAGACAUGCAAGUCGAACGCGAAAGUUCCCUUCGGGGAGCGAGUAGAGUGGCGCACGGGUGAGUAACACGUGGAUAAUUUACCUUCGGGUGGGGAAUAACAACCGGAAACGGUUGCUAAUACCGCAUAAUGCAGCGGCAUCUAUGAUGACAGUUGUUAAAGCGGGGGAGUCGCAAGACCUCGCGCCUGAAGAGAAGUCCGCGGCAGAUUAGCUAGUUGGUAGGGUAAUGGCCUACCAAGGCGACGAUCUGUAGCCGGCCUGAGAGGGCGGUCGGCCACACU
rnacentral:rRNA from 1 species